CCUACGGGAGACAGCAGUGAGGAAUAUUGGUCAAUGGACGCGAGCCUGAACCAGCCAAGUCGCGUGCAGGAUGACGGCCCUACGGGUUGUAAACCUCUUUUGCCGGGGAGCAACGGGCGUCACGUGUGCCUCCACUGGGAUUACCCGGAGGAAAAGCAUCGGCUAAUUCCGUGCCAGCAGCCGCGGUAAUACGGAGGGGUCGGGCGGUUUCCGGAUUUUUUGGGUUUAAAGGGUGCGUAGGCGGGCUGUUAAAUCAGCUGUGAAAUUCCGCGGGUCAACCGCGGAAUUGCAUUUGAACCGGGCGGCCUUGAGUGCACACAAGGAUGCCGGAAUUCAUGGUGUAGCGGUGAAAUGCUUAGAUAUCAUGAAGAACUCCGAUCGCGAAGGCAAGUGUCCGGGGUGCACCUGACGCUGAGGCUCGAAAGUGCGGGUAUCAAACAGGAUUAGAUACCCUAGUAGUC
rnacentral:rRNA from 1 species